AAGACAUCAGUGAAGAAGCUGAUGACCUUGGAGGGCCCCGGCGGGAAUUCUUCCGUCUACUUGUAAAGGCAAUCUACAAAGAUAGUGGCGCAUUUGAAGAAUCCCCAAAUGGCUUCAUUCCAUGACUGAACAUUUCUCAUGUUCAAAAUGGAGUGUAUCGUACUAUUGGACAGAUGAUAUCUACCAUAAUUGUCCAAGGUGGUGAACCCCCAGCCCUCCUGUCUCCUCUUGUGGCAGACUACCUUCUGACAGGAAACAUCUUUGAGGUGAAUGCCACUCCUGAUGAUGUGGCUGACAUGGAACUGAGAGGAUCCCUGAAAAUGGUUGAUCAAGCAGAAAAUGAAGAUGAUCUGGCUCAAGCUGUGGAAUGCUGUGACUCAUGGAGAUACCAAAUUGAAGGACUUCCAAACCCAGUCAACAUGGAAAACAAAGAUGCAUUUGUGAAAAGUGCAGUACUUUUCCAUGUCCUCAUGCAACGAAAGAGCUGCUACGAUCAGUUGGCUGAGGGUUUGAAAUACUAUGGGGUAAGUUUAUUUUAAAGGCAA